CGUGGGAAUCUUGGACAAUGGGCGCAAGCCUGAUCCAGCCAUGCCGCGUGAGUGAUGAAGGCCUUAGGGUCGUAAAGCUCUUUCGCCAGAGAUGAUAAUGACAGUAUCUGGUAAAGAAACCCCGGCUAACUCCGUGCCAGCAGCCGCGGUAAUACGGAGGGGGUUAGCGUUGUUCGGAAUUACUGGGCGUAAAGCGUACGUAGGCGGAUUAGUCAGUCAGAGGUGAAAUCCCAGGGCUCAACCCUGGAACUGCCUUUGAUACUGCUAGUCUUGAGUUCGAGAGAGGUGAGUGGAAUUCCAAGUGUAGAGGUGAAAUUCGUAGAUAUUUGGAGGAACACCAGUGGCGAAGGCGGCUCACUGGCUCGAUACUGACGCUGAGGUACGAAAGUGUGGGGAGCAAACAGGAUUAGAUACCCUGGUAGUCCACACCGUAAACGAUGAAUGCCAGUCGUCGGGCAGUAUACUGUUCGGUGACACACCUAACGGAUUAAGCAUUCCGCCUGGGGAGUACGGUCGCAAGAUUAAACUCA
rnacentral:rRNA from 1 species